rnacentral:tRNA from 1 species
GACGCUUUGGUGGAGUGGUUAACACGUAUCCCUGCUACUACAGUAAGCAACCAAGCGUGAGCUGGUGUUAGGAUAUCCUCUCUGAGGGCGUGAGUUCGAAUCUCACAGGCGUCG